rnacentral:rRNA from 1 species
CCUACGGGUGGCAGCAGUGAGGAAUAUUGGUCAAUGGACGCAAGUCUGAACCAGCCAUGCCGCGUGCAGGAAGACGGCUCUAUGAGUUGUAAACUGCUUUUGUACGAGGGUAAACGCAGAUACGCGUACCUGUCUGAAAGUAUCGUACGAAUAAGGAUCGGCUAACUCCGUGCCAGCAGCCGCGGUAAUACGGAGGAUUCAAGCGUUAUCCGGAUUUAUUGGGUUUAAAGGGUGCGUAGGCGGUCGGAUAAGUUAGAGGUGAAAGCCCGAGGCUCAACUGCGGAAUUGCCUCUGAUACUGUUCGGCUAGAGAGUAGUUGCGGUAGGCGGAAUGUAUGGUGUAGCGGUGAAAUGCUUAGAGAUCAUACAGAACACCGAUUGCGAAGGCAGCUUACCAAGCUACUUCUGACGUUGAGGCACGAAAGUGUGGGGAGCAAACAGGAUUAGAUACCCUUGUAGUC